rnacentral:rRNA from 1 species
GAUGAACGCUGGCGGCGUGCCUAAUACAUGCAAGUCGAGCGAACAGACGAGGAGCUUGCUCCUCUAACGUUAGCGGCGGACGGGUGAGUAACACGUGGAUAACCUACCUAUAAGACUGGGAUAACUUCGGGAAACCGGAGCUAAUACCGGAUAAUAUAUUGAACCGCAUGGUUCAAUAGUGAAAGACGGUUUUGCUGUCUCUUAUAGAUGGAUCCGCGCCGCAUUAGCUAGUUGGUAAGGUAACAGCUUACCAAGGCAACGAUGCGUAGCCGACCUGGGAGGGGGAUCGGCCACACGGGAACUGAGACCCGGUCCAGACUCCAACGGGAGGCAGCAGUGGGAAUCUUCCGCAAUGGGCGAAAGCCUGACGGAGCAACGCCGCGUGAGUGAUGAAGGUCUUCGGAUCGUAAAACUCUGUUAUUAGGGAAGAACAAAUGUGUAAGUAACUAUGCACGUCUUGACGGUACCUAAUCAGAAAGCCACGGCUAACUACGUG